AAUCGUGUGGCACUUAUCCUGAUUAUUUCCUCAGUCAUUUCCGGAAUACUUAUAGCUGAUGCAUUCGUCUUUAUACAAUUUUAUUUGCAGCAAUAACAUUAAUUGGCUAAACUUUAAAAACAAUCUUUUACGUAGUGAGAAAAAAAAAACGUUUGUCACUACUGAUAUUUGUUUCAGUAGUUUUCCUUAUAAGUAUUUCUAUUAGGUACUUUUAUAUUAAAGUCACC
rnacentral:lncRNA from 1 species